GAUGAACGCUGGCGGCGUGCCUAACACAUGCAAGUCGAGCGGCAGCGAGGGGUGCUUGCACCCUGUCGGCGAGCGGCGGACAGCUGAGUAACGCGUGGGAACGUGCCCCAAAGUGAGGAAUAACUGCCCGAAAGGGUAGCUAAUACCGCAUAUUAUCUUCGGAUCAAAGGAUUUAUCCGCUUUGGGAGCGGCUCGCGUCGGAUUAGGUAGUUGGUGAGGUAAUGGCUCACCAAGCCGACGAUCCGUAGCUGGUCUGAGAGGAUGACCAGCCAGACUGGAACUGAGACACGGUCCAGACUCCUACGGGAGGCAGCAGUGAGGAAUCUUCCACAAUGGGCGAAAGCCUGAUGGAGCAACGCCGCGUGCAGGACGAAGGCCUUCGGGUUGUAAACUGCUUUUAUAAGUGAGGAAUAUGACGGUAACUUAUGAAUAAGGAUCGGCUAACUACGUG
rnacentral:rRNA from 1 species